CUUCAUGGCCGAGACAGGGGACCGGUGGGUCCCCUCCUUUGCCGGGCCAUUCAGGCCGCGGCUGCCACGGUGGAGGCCGACGGUAGAGGGGGGCCACUCCUCCGGUUACGGAGAGGCAUAGCCGGCGGUCGAUUGCGAUCGCUGGCGUCAAAAAAUCCAAGAGAAAAGAGGUCAAACAGGGGUCUCUUUUCCAACCAAGAAUCGGCG
rnacentral:lncRNA from 1 species